UCGACUCAAUGAUUAAAUAAUAAAGAAAUAGGCCGGGCACAGUGACUAGCACCUGUAAUCCAGCAUUUUGGGAGGCCAAGGUGGGCAGAUCACUUGAGGUCAGGAGUUUGAGACAAGCCUGGCCAACAGGUCUCUACAAAAAACACAAAAAUUAGCUGGGCAUGGUGGAACAUUCGUUCUUUGUUUUUGUUUAUAGUUUGUUGCCUAAGCAUGCAACUUUAAAUACUAGAGUCUAGUUUAUCUUCUGUUUGAAGUACAUAUUAAUAAAAUCAUACAUUCUUUUGUUUGGCUUCUUUUGCACAGGAUUUUCUUUUUUUUCUUUCUUUUUUUUUUUUUUAGACAGAGUUUUGCUCUUGUUGCCCAUGCUGGAGUGCAAUGGCACGAUCUUGGCUCACUGCAUUCUCCACCUCCCGGGUUCAAGCAAUUCUCCUGCCUCAGACAUUUGAGUAGCUGGGAUUACAGGCACAUGCCACCACAACCAGCUAAUUUUUUUUAUUUUUAGUAGAGACAGGGUUUCACCAUGUUGGCCAGGCUGGCCUCAAACUCUUGACCUCAGGUUAUCCUCCUGCCUCUGCCUCCCAAAGUGCUGGGAUUACAGACAUGAGGCACCACACCCAGCCUCACCAUGCUUCUUUAGUGUCAAUAUUUUGAAUUCUUUUCCCAGGAUUUUGUAAAUUUCUUUUUGAUUGGGAUCUGUUGCUGGAAAAUUAUUGUGUUGUUUUGGAGGUGUCAUAUUUCCUUGCUUUUCAUGUUUCCUGUGUUCUUACAUUGGUAUUGUGCAUCUUGUGUAACAGUUGCUUUUUCCAAUUUUUUGAAUUUGCUUUCAUAGGGGAGGACUUUUCCUGAAAAUGUAUGCAUAGUGUUCAUUGGGUAGGAUGCUUUGGCUUUGAUUCUGGGCAUGUGCAGUAGU
rnacentral:lncRNA from 1 species